ensembl:snRNA Gm23093 predicted gene, 23093
AGGUGUGCUUGCUUCGGCAGCACAUAUACUAAAAUUGGUACGAUACAGGGAAGAUUAACAUGAACCCUGUGUAAGGAUGACAUGCAAAUUCGUGAAGCAUUCCACAUUUUU